GACGAACGCUGGCGGCGUGCUUAACACAUGCAAGUCGAACGGAAAGGCCCUGCUUUUGUGGGGUGCUCGAGUGGCGAACGGGUGAGUAACACGUGAGUAACCUGCCCUUGACUUUGGGAUAACUUCAGGAAACUGGGGCUAAUACCGGAUAGGAGCUCCUGCUGCAUGGUGGGGGUUGGAAAUUUUCGGCGGGUGGGGAUGGACUCGCGGCUUAUCAGCUUGUUGGUGGGGUAGUGGCUUACCAAGGCUUUGACGGGUAGCCGGCCUGAGAGGGUGACCGGCCACAUUGGGACUGAGAUACGGCCCAGACUCCUACGGGAGGCAGCAGUGGGGAAUAUUGCACAAUGGGCGGAAGCCUGAUGCAGCAACGCCGCGUGCGGGAUGACGGCCUUCGGGUUGUAAACCGCUUUCGCCUGUGACGAAGCGUGAGUGACGGUAAUGGGUAAAGAAGCACCGGCUAACUACGUG
rnacentral:rRNA from 1 species